AAAAAAACAAGUGAGAGGUAAUGGAAAUCAGAAAAACAGGAAGGAGAAAGCCGUUAUAGAAAAACAAUAAGGAGGAAAUCGUUACAGAAAAAUAACCAGGGGAAGCAGUUAUUUCAAUCUUAAAGAAUGGUCUAAUCAGGCCAUAGAACACUGACCACCAGGUUAUGGCACUUUUCCCACCACACGUAUGCUAGAAAAAAUGACUGAAACAUAACCUGUAACUCAUGUCCAUACUUGGAAAGAAUUCAGUCCCCAAAACAGUGAUGUAUAGUUAUGAAUAAUUAUAACUAACCUUUACCUAAACUACUAACCUAUAAAAGGAAAAACAUCAAAGUAGACAGUGUAUUCUCCACUUGCAGAGACAGACCCAUUUCCCCUUUGGAAAUGUACUUUUCCUUUGCACCCUUAAGCUUUAUUCACAAUAGAUUCUCCAUGCAUACUUGCUGAGUAUCUGUCAUCUUUCUCUAUCACAUGGGCCAAGCCUGGAGCCCAAGAACUGUGGUAACACUUCAAAGUCCAGCUGGGUACUGAAUCAGGGUCUGGUGCUUGCUCAGGCUAGUCUUGAACUCCUGACCUCAAGCAAUCCUCCCACCUCAGCCUCCGAGAACGCUAGGAGUGAGCCACUGCCUUGGCCUACUGUCUUAGGCCCUCCCUGUAUCCAACCUGAAUCAUCACUAAGCCCAUUCCCUAAACAUUCUCUCACUUGCUGCUCUCCACAUCCCUGCCACAUACACCAUUCUUGACCCUGCUGUCAAAGUAGUAUUUCUAAAAUGGAAAUCUGAUCUGGUUACUUGCCAAUUGAAAAUGUCAAUGGUUCUCUUAAGCUUUGUCUAGGAAAUUCCUAAUCUGGGGUCUAUAUGUAGAACUGAAUUUCAAUAUAAUUCUGAAUUCUUCCAAUAACAGGAAUGAGCUUGGAAGAGGAUCCCAAACAUCAGAUGAGAAAACAGUGCCACUUCUGAAAUCAGCCAUUUUUCCAAGAGUCCUUGUUAAAGGAAAGUGAUGUCUAGAUAUCACAAUCGGGGAUCUGGAACUGCUCACUGCAGCACUUUCCUACCAAGGAUUUUGUGAUUCUGAGAGAGCACAGGAUUCUGCAGAGAGUUCUGUGCAUGUGGCCGGCUCCCCUGUGGGCACACCUUCCUUCUGGAGCGCUGGGUGGUGGGAAGAACUGGACAGAUAACUGUGCCAGAGGCAGUCUGCUGGCUCACAGGACAAGGAAUGCUCCUCUCUGAGCAGACAGGAGGCAGAGCCGCAGCAUGGAUCCCGUGGCCUGUGCCUUCCUCCCAACCGUGCUGAGGGCAGCCGGCCUCUAAAUGUUUAUGAACAGAAAAAGAAGAGUUGGAAAGGGUAGGGCAGCGGACUUUGCUCUUGUUUAUAAACACUGCACUAAUUGA